rnacentral:rRNA from 1 species
GACGAACGCUGGCGGCGUGCUUAACACAUACAAGUCGAACGGAAAGGCCCUGCUUGCAGGGUACUCGAGUGGCGAACGGGUGAGUAACACGUGGGUGAUCUGCCCUGCACUUCGGGAUAAGCCUGGGAAACUGGGUCUAAUACCGGAUAGGAGCCAUUUUUAGUGUGAUGGUUGGAAAGUUUUUUCGGUGUAGGAUGAGCUCGCGGCCUAUCAGCUUGUUGGUGGGGUAAUGGCCUACCAAGGCGGCGACGGGUAGCCGGCCUGAGAGGGUGGACGGCCACAUUGGGACUGAGAUACGGCCCAGACUCCUACGGGAGGCAGCAGUGGGGAAUAUUGCACAAUGGGCGCAAGCCUGAUGCAGCGACGCCGCGUGGGGGAUGACGGCCUUCGGGUUGUAAACUCCUUUCGCUAGGGACGAAGCUUUUUGUGACGGUACCUAGAGAAGAAGCACCGGCUAACUACGUG